rnacentral:lncRNA from 1 species
GGCCCAAGGCCACCAAAUAAAGAACAACCCCAAGAGCAUGGUGAAGGGUAAAAUGGACAAUUCUACAUAAAGAGGGGUGUGCCUAUCAUAAAAGGGGUGGCAUUAGUGUUUACUUUUCCAUAGGCACCUAGCAUAUUUUACAUGUGUUUAAUAAAGCUUUCUAGAAGCCACACACAUUUAGCACAUGGCUAAUUAGUUGGAAUGAGAUCUGAAACGUGUGGCCUUGAGAUUGAUCUAUAAAAUCUCAUAGGCUAAGCUUGUAAAUCACUUUGGAAUCUAUGAGAAAUUUCUUCAAUCUGAAAUUCAUCUCUGCCAAGCAAAUGCUUACCAAAGUCACUCUUUCCAUCAACUCUCUCCCACCUCUUAGCUUUCUUCCAACAAUGGAGGCUGCCUGAAGCUAGGACCACCUCAUUCCUUCUCUGCCGCCACCAACAUUCCACUCAAAAUCCAUCAAGUUCCGCUGCCAUCUGCUGGAAUCCUUCCUUCUCAGUUUCUGGCUUCAACACAGCAAUGGAGAGUCGUAUCAUUUGGUAAUCAGAGCUUGGGUGCUGCAACGUUUCCAGCGAAGUGAGCUUGUCCAGAUAAGUUCCAUCUUCGUACUGUUAUCAACACUUCUGUCAUGUACUGCAUUGUUACUGUUCCAUUGAUUUUUUUUUUACAUUCUAUAGAUUCCUUUGAGUCAUCUUCUUGAUCCAGCUUUGCUUUGAUUUGGUAUUAUCAUUUUAAUCGGUUCAUGUUAAUGAUUUGAGUUUUUUACUUUUGAAAUCUGAUUCUGUCUUGUUAAAGUCAUGUCAAUAUUUUCCAAUUUUGUCUAAAAUUCCAUGUUUAACCAAGAAUGGAUAAACCUGCAUAGUUGAUUGGAGUAAUUCAAUAAGAAGCUUAGUGCAUCUUGAAGCUCCUCAGCAAGCAGUACCAUAGGUUAACAAAGUUAAUUGUUACCGAGAAGAAGUCAGUUGUUGCAUCUGGUUUCAAAUCGUUUUUUUUAAAAAAAACACCAACAUCUGUGAUCUGUGAUGAUGUUUACCGUUACAAUGAUGUGCUAUUGAUUGAGGGAUAUGAUGCAUUCAGAGGAAAUGCCUACCACAAGUUAUGUUGAUACAUUACAGUGGAAAGCAUUCCUGUGCAGAUUCCAAACUCUACACAUAGUAGCUUGAACCGUGUUGCAUAAAGCUUUGAUAGUGUGUAAUUUUUUUUUUUAAAUCUAUCCAGUCAUAGCUUUCUCUGCUGGAUUUCUUUCUCAAUUCUGCAGAAUUCUUUGUUCAAUUAGUGUGCUGUGUGAACUCAUCAGAUUGUGUUUAAGUUGAAUGAUUCAAUCGGAUGAAGUUUACUGAGUGUAUGGAUCAUUUUUGGUCAAACUUGAGCAACAUAUAUGGAGCCAACAAAAAUAAGUCCUCAUAAAGACGACCCACCAGAUUUGAGGACAAAUCCUUUCUAAGAGGGAGGGGAUGAUACACGGGGCCCAAGGCCACCAAAUAAAGAACAACCCCAAGAGCAUGGUGAAGGGUAAAAUGGACAAUUCUACAUAAAGAGGGGUGUGCCUAUCAUAAAAGGGGUGGCAUUAGUGUUUACUUUUCCAUAGGCACCUAGCAUAUUUUACAUGUGUUUAAUAAAGCUUUCUAGAAGCCACACACAUUUAGCACAUGGCUAAUUAGUUGGCAUGAGAUCUGAAACGUGUGGCCUUGAGAUUGAUCUAUAAAAUCUCAUAGGCUAAGCUUGUAAAUCACUUUGGAAUCUAUGAGAAAUUUCUUCAAUCUGAAAUUCAUCUCUGCCAAGCAAAUGCUUACCAAAGUCACUCUUUCCAUCAACUCUCUCCCACCUCUUAGCUUUCUUUCAACAAUGGAGGUUGUCUGAAGCUAGGACCACCUCAUUCCUUCUCUGCCGCCAUCAACAUUCCACUCAAAAUCCAUCAAGUUCCGCUGCCAUCUGCUGGAAUCCUUCCUUCUCAGUUUCUGGCUUCAACAUAGCAAUGGAGAGCCGUAUCAUUUAACCUGUAGCAACCCAAAGUCCUCAGAACACGUAGCCGGUGGCCUCCGUGAACUCUCA